UGACCGUAGUGUGUAAACCAUCUUAAUUGUC
rnacentral:piRNA from 1 species